rnacentral:misc_RNA from 2 species
UGGAAGUAAAAGUCGUAACAAGGUUUCCGUAGGUGAACCUGCGGAAGGAUCAUUACCGAGUGAGGGCCCUCUGGGUCCAACCUCCCACCCGUGUUUAUUUUACCUUGUUGCUUCGGCGGGCCCGCCUUAACUGGCCGCCGGGGGGCUUACGCCCCCGGGCCCGCGCCCGCCGAAGACACCCUCGAACUCUGUCUGAAGAUUGUAGUCUGAGUGAAAAUAUAAAUUAUUUAAAACUUUCAACAACGGAUCUCUUGGUUCCGGCAUCGAUGAAGAACGCAGCGAAAUGCGAUACGUAAUGUGAAUUGCAAAUUCAGUGAAUCAUCGAGUCUUUGAACGCACAUUGCGCCCCCUGGUAUUCCGGGGGGCAUGCCUGUCCGAGCGUCAUUGCUGCCCUCAAGCACGGCUUGUGUGUUGGGCCCCGUCCUCCGAUCCCGGGGGACGGGCCCGAAAGGCAGCGGCGGCACCGCGUCCGGUCCUCGAGCGUAUGGGGCUUUGUCACCCGCUCUGUAGGCCCGGCCGGCGCUUGCCGAUCAACCCAAAUUUUUAUCCAGGUUGACCUCGGAUCAGGUAGGGAUACCCGCUGAACUUAAGCAUAUCAAUAAGCGGAGGAA